UACGUAGGGUGCGAGCGUUAAUCGGAAUUACUGGGCGUAAAGCGUGCGUAGACGGUUAUGUAAGUCAGGUGUGAAAGCCCCGGGCUCAACCUGGGAAUGGCAUUGGAAACUGGCUGGCUAGAGUGUGGCAGAGGGGGGUGGAAUUCCGCGUGUAGCAGUGAAAUGCGUAGAGAUGCGGAGGAACACCGAUGGCGAAGGCAGCCCCCUGGGCUAGCACUGACGCUCAGGCACGAAAGCGUGGGGAGCAAACAGG
rnacentral:rRNA from 1 species